CAGACAGAGUCUUGGUUUCUGGUCAUUCCCUGGCGAUUGACAAAUCUAGCAUGAAUGGGGAGUGCAAAAUUGUUCACAAGGAUGCAAGGGAACCAUUGUUAAUGUCUGGCUGCAAAGUUGCAGACGGCAAUGGCACUAUGCUUGUAAGUAUUUUGUCCAUUCUUCUACUUUGCUUUCCUCAUCAUACUUCUCUGUGCUUUUAUUUCACAUCACAGAGAAGAUCCACACUUCAUAAUUAGGCUAAUUUACUUGAAACAUAUUGCUACACUACCUCGUUGUUUGCUAAAUAUGGGUUGAAAAAUUGAAAGUCAUGGGUUCUUGAGCUAAUUUGGUAAAGGAGCAUGACUCUUUUAAUCUCAACUAAACUCUGUUCUGAGUUAGAGGGUGGCCCCUUAAAAAAGAGUUCAAGAAAGUACUGGAGAUAUUUAAAAAUAUACAGUUUAUUCUGUCCUUGAGGCCUCGUUAGGAGGAGGUGAGUCAAAUUUGAAUUGAAUGGAUGGCUCUGUCCCUUUGAACGUGCACUUAUAUGCUUCACUCUGGCUGUCAUGACUACCUGCGUGUUUCUCAAUGGAUUUCUAGCCGUAGGGUUGUCUCUGAUAUCAGAAUUAGUUUGCCAAAAAUGGUGCUUCCUGAGAUGGAGGUUUACUCUAUCCCAAGUCUGUCUUUAUCACAAAUCAAGGCUUAUUUCCACCUGUCUUCUGCCUCACUUUUCUGUUUUUGCCUGUCUGGUGACGAGUGUGAGUAUUAACAUUGAGUGGGGUUUGCCUAUGGCUAGUAUAUUGGAAGAUACUGGGGAAGAGACACCCCGGCAGGUGGGUAUACUAUUUCAUUGUUGGACUGCAUGCAGCUGUUGCUGUUUUGGCUGCUCUUUUAGCAAG